ACUCUCUUAGUAUAAAUAAUAUAACUGACUUCCAAUCAGUAGAUUCUGUAAGCACACGGAAGAGAGUA
rnacentral:tRNA from 1 species